CGAAUGAACUGACAUCAUAUAAUAACUCAAAUUCGCAGUAAUUCUAAUAAUUUUUUUAUAUUUUAAAGCUUAAAAAUGGCCAAACACUUUUACUCUUAUCAAUUUGACAUGCCCUACCGUUCCACCUAUCUUCGGAACUGGGAGGUACCAAAGUACUAUUGUCCGAAACCGCGCAGAAGAACCAAUUGCACCAAAAUAAUUUCCAAUUCCAGAGGGCAUAUCUUACCUGGGGUACCUAGGCCGCCUUGCAACGCAUUUGGGGACUUUAUUGGUACUUGGGAAAUGCCUACAAAAAUAACACGUGAAAUAGCUAAUAAGUUGAACGGUACUACUGACAAGCCAGUGUUUAUGGAAAAGUGUAGGCUUGCAUUAAUCAAUACUGGAAGAAAAGGUACCAGGAAGAAAACUGAAAAAGAGGCAUUAAAGACGGAAUCUCAAGAAAUAAGUACCAUUACGGACGAAGCGUCAAUUAAGAAAGUUGAAGAGGCUAUAGUCGAAAGGGUCAUAUGUCCCAUACAUGAUUUUUAAAUAAAGAAAAAGUAAUCAA